CAUCCUCCAAGGCUAAAUACUCCUGACUGACCGAUAGUGAACCAGUACCGUGAGGGAAAGGCGAAAAGAACCCCGGCGAGGGGAGUGAAAAAGAACCUGAAACCGUGUACGUACAAGCAGUGGGAGCACAGGUUUACCUGUGUGACUGCGUACCUUUUGUAUAAUGGGUCAGCGACUUAUAUUCUGUAGCAAGGUUAACCGCAUAGGGGAGCCGGAGGGAAACCGAGUCUUAAUUGGGCGUUAAGUUGCAGGGUAUAGACCCGAAACCCGGUGAUCUAGCCAUGGGCAGGUUGAAGGUUGGGUAACACUAACUGGAGGACCGAACCGACUAAUGUUGAAAAAUUAGCGGAUGACCUGUGGCUGGGGGUGAAAGGCCAAUCAAACCGGGAGAUAGCUGGUUCUCCCCGAAAGCUAUUUAGGUAGCGCCUCGUGAAUUCAUCUCCGGGGGUAGAGCACUGUUUCGGCUAGGGGGCCAUCCCGGCUUACCAACCCGAUGCAAACUGCGAAUACCGGAGAAUGUUAUCACGGGAGACACACGGCGGGUGCUAACGUCCGUCGUGAAGAGGGAAACAACCCAGACCGCCAGCUAAGGUCCCAAAGUCAUGGUUAAGUGGGAAACGAUGUGGGAAGGCCCAGACAGCCAGGAUGUUGGCUUAGAAGCAGCCAUCAUUUAAAGAAAGCGUAAUAGCUCACUGGUCGAGUCGGCCUGCGCGGAAGAUGUAACGGGGCUAAACCAUGCACCGAAGCUGCGGCAGCGAACGUAUCACUUAAAGCGAUUCAGCGGGUUACGAUUGACGGAGCGAAGCGACGUCAAAGCGUAUACAAAGUCGAGUCGGUUUAAGGAUACGUUCGUUGGGUAGGGGAGCGUUCUGUAAGCCUGCGAAGGUGGCCUGUGAGGGUUGCUGGAGGUAUCAGAAGUGCGAAUGCUGACAUAAGUAACGAUAAAGCGGGUGAAAAGCCCGCUCGCCGGAAGACCAA
rnacentral:rRNA from 1 species